UCUGUGUGUGCAGAUACUGUGUGUGUAGAUACCAUGCAAUCAUUGAACCACGUUUAUAAGGAAUAGAGGGUUUUUCUUUUUAACAGAUCACCAGUGAGAAUGAAGACAAGUGUGGACAAGAAAUACACUUGAGCAGAGGAAGCCUUUGCAUCUCAACACAGUACAUUCUAUUUCUUGAGUUAUAAGUGCCCAUCGUACAGACCGUUUCCUUCUACCCUUAGUGUGCCAAGGGUCAGGAUGCUUUUAGAAUGUGUUUCUUUCACAGACCAGACUCCUGGCAAUACCGAAGUCCUAUACCUGGAGUGGUGCCACCCACAUUCAGGCUGUGUCUUUUUACACUGAGCAAAGCAGUCAAGACAUUUCCCAACAGACAUUCCCACAGCCUCCCUGAGCUAGAGAGGCCCUCACUGAGAAUCACCUCUCAGGUGACUGUAAGUGAUGUCAUGUUGUCAUGUCAUUUUAACCAACCAGCACAACUGGCAUGGCCAACUCUCAUCACCUUCUAACUCCCAAAUAUUCUGUCAUCUCAGAGAGGUCCCCAGCCACUGUUCUUACCUUCAGCCUGACUGUAGCUUUAUCUGUUCCAACUCUGCAGACCUGCCAUUUCUAGGAGUGUUGUCUAGAUGGAGUCAUGCAGCUCCUGGCUUGUUGCUAAGCACAGGUGCUGGUGUAUCACACAUGUGUGUCAGUCAGAACCCUCCUCUGUCACUUUGGUUCCUUGGUGUGGCCAGGCUAUAGCUUUUCUGUUGUUGGGCCUGUGGGUGGCCUUUACUUCUCCCCAGUGCUACUCGGAGUCCUCACUGUUCUUGGCAUGUGUACUUUGAGGUAGAAUUGUGCCUGUGCACAGUAAUGGGAUUGCAGGGCACAGGAGCUAGGUGUUCUCUUUGGUGGGUUAGCAUUGUCAAUCAGAUACCUAUGAGGCAGGCUUCUGGGAACACCUUUGAGGGAUUGUCUGGGUUAAGAUUAGCCUUUGGGAAUGAAUGUCAAUAAAGGAUUGCCUGAAUUAAGUUGAAGUGGGAAGACCUGCCCACUGUGGGUGGCACCAUUCCCUAGCCAUGAUAUCCUGGAUUUUUUUUAAGGAUGGAGAAUGUGAGUGGAGCACUAGCAUGUAUGUGUUAACCCAGUGGUCUCUGCUCUGGAAUGUAGACAGAGUAUAACCAGUUUUCUUAAAUGCCUGCUUCUGUAACCGCCCUGCCAUGAUGAUAAUGACCUGGAACUGUGAGUCCAAUGCACCCUUUCUCCCUUAAGUUGCUUUCGUCCGAGAUUUUAUUACAACAACAGAAAAUAAACUAAGACAGAGACCCCCUUCUCUUUGCAGCCUGAGUGGUAGGAGGGCAGGUGUGGACGUCCCUUCCUGACUCUCUGACUGCAUGCUGAACUGGAAGGCAGCCCUAUGGCUGCCAGGACUGUGUCCCCUGGGAGGCAGGGCCUUAUUCGCUGGAUCUGCAGUGAUCGGUGGUCUCAGGCAGGCUGCUCUCUGGUCCAAAGCAUUGCAGUUGGUGGCCACACCCAGGGCUGUGGUUCCUGCCAGCCAACCAGGAGGAUGAGGACCUUACCAGCCUGUACCCACUGUGGAUGGUGCAGCCCACCUGAAUCUGAGCCCUGGGACUUCUGUGGAGUCUUCCAGACAUCCAUGUCCUCAUUCUCCCUACCUCAUCUCCAUCCUCAGCAUCCCCUGCAGCCACACGCAUGGAGACCCUCGGCCCCUCCCUGUCCUCUCUGUCCUUUGGAAGGACCCCAGAAACAGCAGCUGAGCCCUCCACCUUUGAGCAACAGCUGUUGGACUUUCACAAGCGGCAGGACACCCUCCUGGCCAGCUGGUCCCAGCAACAGAGCACACGAUGGCCCAGCAAAACCAGCUGCUGUAGCAGCUGACCAAGCAAAGCCAGUGGCUGGCUGACGGCGUCAAGCUCUCAACCAAAACCCUUGAUCACUUGGUGGCAGUUUGCCUUGCCCAGGAAGCCUCAUCUGCAGUCCCAUACAACGUCCCAGGUGGUGGAACAGCACAGAGACCCAACUGAUGUCCCUGGAAUACCCACCUGUGCCUGGAGGUCUCCUCACGGAUCCUAAAGGCUAGAUCCACCUGAGAAGAGGACCCUCAAUUGAGAAUGUGCCUCCCUCUUACUGGCACACAGGUAAACCUUUCUGGAAACGCCAGAUAUUGUCCAGAGAUGUGUUUCCAUGGCAAUCCUCAUCUAGCCAAGUUGGCAAUGAGGAUGAAUAAUCAACGAGCAUCAACUUUCAACUGAACUCUGGUGUCUCUCUGCCUUAAAUAUGUCUCUUGGAAACUGCUGAAUUAUAUUAAAAAAAAAAAGCUGAUGUUCGGACUUCACUGCGGUGGUAAAUGGCAGCGCGCUCUGCUGAAGAUCCCAACAGGAAUUGGACUCCAGUCAGUCCUUCACAGACCCAGCUCAAAUCUUCUGAGUGUUCUCGUGCACUCCUUGUCAGCCACUCCGCAGACACCUACUCAUUCGGGCGGAGCACAGAGGAGGGGCUAACCCCAGGAUGCUCACUGGCAGAGAAGACUUUUUGCUGAGAUUGUCUUGGCAUCCAAUGGAUCUAUAGCCAUGGCCAUCCAGGAGCCCUGGGGCACCUGUGGUAGGGUCAAGUGUGAGAUGGAGCACGGAAGUGUGAUGCUGGUUGUUGGAGUGGUACCUAGGCACUGAUGAAUGUUCCUCUACCCCAACAGCAAGACACAGCUUGCUCUCAAAUAUCAAUGACGGUAGGUUGAUGGUACUUGAUUCUCUUGGGAGGACAACAGCCACACACUAGGGAGGGUACAGUGGGGAAGGAAGAGUCUCGAGAGUCCCAAGUGAGUGUUUGUGGUAGUUUGAAUAAGAAUCCCCACCACCACCUCUAGGCUCAUAAAUUUGAACGCAUAGGGAGUGGCACUGUUUGAAAGGAUUGGGAGGUGUGGCCUUGUUGGAGGAAGUAGUCACUGGGAGUAAGCUCGGAGGUUUUAAGAACCCAAGCCAGGCCCAGUGGCUUUCUCUUCCUGCUGAGUGUGGAUGUGAAUGUAGGACCUUCAACUCCCUCUUCAGCGCCAUGUCUGCAUGUAUGCCACCAUACUUCCUGCCAUGAUGAUAAUGGACUGAACCUCUGAAACUGUAA
rnacentral:sRNA from 1 species